AGAGUUUGAUCAUGGCUCAGAUUGAACGCUGGCGGCAGGCCUAACACAUGCAAGUCGAGCGGUAGCACAGAGAGCUUGCUCUCGGGUGACGAGCGGCGGACGGGUGAGUAAUGUCUGGGAAACUGCCUGAUGGAGGGGGAUAACUACUGGAAACGGUAGCUAAUACCGCAUAACGUCGCAAGACCAAAGUGGGGGACCUUCGGGCCUCAUGCCAUCAGAUGUGCCCAGAUGGGAUUAGCUAGUAGGUGGGGUAAUGGCUCACCUAGGCGACGAUCCCUAGCUGGUCUGAGAGGAUGACCAGCCACACUGGAACUGAGACACGGUCCAGACUCCUACGGGAGGCAGCAGUGGGGAAUAUUGCACAAUGGGCGCAAGCCUGAUGCAGCCAUGCCGCGUGUGUGAAGAAGGCCUUCGGGUUGUAAAGCACUUUCAGCGGGGAGGAAGGCGAUAAGGUUAAUAACCUUGCCGAUUGACGUUACCCGCAGAAGAAGCACCGGCUAACUCCGUGCCAGCAGCCGCGGUAAUACGGAGGGUGCAAGCGUUAAUCGGAAUUACUGGGCGUAAAGCGCACGCAGGCGGUCUGUCAAGUCGGAUGUGAAAUCCCCGGGCUCAACCUGGGAACUGCAUUCGAAACUGGCAGGCUAGAGUCUUGUAGAGGGGGGUAGAAUUCCAGGUGUAGCGGUGAAAUGCGUAGAGAUCUGGAGGAAUACCGGUGGCGAAGGCGGCCCCCUGGACAAAGACUGACGCUCAGGUGCGAAAGCGUGGGGAGCAAACAGGAUUAGAUACCCUGGUAGUCCACGCCGUAAACGAUGUCGAUUUGGAGGUUGUGCCCUUGAGGCGUGGCUUCCGGAGCUAACGCGUUAAAUCGACCGCCUGGGGAGUACGGCCGCAAGGUUAAAACUCAAAUGAAUUGACGGGGGCCCGCACAAGCGGUGGAGCAUGUGGUUUAAUUCGAUGCAACGCGAAGAACCUUACCUGGUCUUGACAUCCACAGAACUUUCCAGAGAUGGAUUGGUGCCUUCGGGAACUGUGAGACAGGUGCUGCAUGGCUGUCGUCAGCUCGUGUUGUGAAAUGUUGGGUUAAGUCCCGCAACGAGCGCAACCCUUAUCCUUUGUUGCCAGCGGUUAGGCCGGGAACUCAAAGGAGACUGCCAGUGAUAAACUGGAGGAAGGUGGGGAUGACGUCAAGUCAUCAUGGCCCUUACGACCAGGGCUACACACGUGCUACAAUGGCAUAUACAAAGAGAAGCGACCUCGCGAGAGCAAGCGGACCUCAUAAAGUAUGUCGUAGUCCGGAUUGGAGUCUGCAACUCGACUCCAUGAAGUCGGAAUCGCUAGUAAUCGUAGAUCAGAAUGCUACGGUGAAUACGUUCCCGGGCCUUGUACACACCGCCCGUCACACCAUGGGAGUGGGUUGCAAAAGAAGUAGGUAGCUUAACCUUCGGGAGGGCGCUUACCACUUUGUGAUUCAUGACUGGGGUGAAGUCGUAACAAGGUAACCGUAGGGGAACCUGCGGUUG
rnacentral:rRNA from 1 species